rnacentral:rRNA from 1 species
GAUGAACGCUAGCGGCAGGCCUAACACAUGCAAGUCGAGGGAGAGGUUACCUUCGGGUCACCAAAACCGGCGCACGGGUGCGUAACGCGUAUACAAUCUGCCUUUCACAUAGGGAUAGCCCGAAGAAAUUUGGAUUAAUACCUAAUGGUAUAUAAGAGCGGCAUCGUUUUUAUAUUAAAGCUACGGUGGUGAAAGAUGAGUAUGCGUUCUAUUAGCUAGUUGGAGAGGUAACGGCUCCCCAAGGCGACGAUAGAUAGGGGUUCUGAGGGGGAUGUCCCCCACACUGGUACUGAGAUACGGACCAGACUCCUACGGGAGGCAGCAGUGAGGAAUAUUGGACAAUGGUCGGAAGACUGAUCCAGCCAUGCCGCGUGCAGGAUGAAGGUCCUAUGGAUUGUAAACUGCUUUUGUAAGGGAAGAAUAAGGAGUACGUGUACUUUGAUGACGGUACCUUACGAAUAAGCAUCGGCUAACUCCGUG